rnacentral:rRNA from 1 species
GAUGAACGCUGGCGGCGUGCAUAACACAUGUAAGUCGAACGAUGAAGCCCAGCUUGCUGGGUGGAUUAGUGGCGAACGGGUGAGUAACACGUGAGUAACCUGCCCUUAACUCUGGGAUAAGCCUGGGAAACUGGGUCUAAUACCGGAUAGGAGCGCCUACCGCAUGGUGGGUGUUGGAAAGAUUUAUCGGUUUUGGAUGGACUCGCGGCCUAUCAGCUUGUUGGUGAGGUAAUGGCUCACCAAGGCGACGACGGGUAGCCGGCCUGAGAGGGUGACCGGCCACACUGGGACUGAGACACGGCCCAGACUCCUACGGGAGGCAGCAGUGGGGAAUAUUGCACAAUGGGCGAAAGCCUGAUGCAGCGACGCCGCGUGAGGGAUGACGGCCUUCGGGUUGUAAACCUCUUUCAGUAGGGAAGAAGCGAAAGUGACGGUACCUGCAGAAGAAGCACCGGCUAACUACGUG